rnacentral:rRNA from 1 species
AUUAACGCUGGCGGCGUGCAUCACACAUGCCAGUCGCACGAUGAAACUUUAAUGAACCCUUCGGGGAGAAUUAAAGCGGAUUAGUGGCGAACGGGUGAGUAACGCGUGAGUAACCUGCCUUACACAAGGGGAUAGCCUUUGGAAACGAAGAAUAAUACCCUAUAAAACCAUAAAAGCACAUGCAAUUAUGGUCAAAGUGAUAGCGGUGUAAGAUGGACUUGCGUCUGAUUAGCUAGUUGGUGAGAUAAAAGCCCACCAAGGCAACGAUCAGUAGCCGGCUUGAGAGAGUGUACGGCCACAUUGGGACUGAGACACGGCCCAGACUCCUACGGGAGGCAGCAGUGGGGAAUUUUGCACAAUGGGGGAAACCCUGAUGCAGCGACGCCGCGUGAUUUAGAAGGCCUUCGGGUUGUAAAAAUCUUUUGUAUAGGAAGAAAAUGACAGUACUAUACGAAUAAGGUCCGGCUAAUUACGUG